rnacentral:rRNA from 1 species
AGGGUUCGAUUAUGGCUCAGGAUGAACGCUAGCUACAGGCUUAACACAUGCAAGUCGAGGGGCAGCAUUUUAGUUUGCUUGCAAACUGAAGAUGGCGACCGGCGCACGGGUGAGUAACACGUAUCCAACCUGCCGAUAACUCCGGAAUAGCCUUUCGAAAGAAAGAUUAAUACCGGAUAGUAUACGAAUAUCGCAUGAUAUUUUUAUUAAAGAAUUUCGGUUAUCGAUGGGGAUGCGUUCCAUUAGUUUGUUGGCGGGGUAACGGCCCACCAAGACUACGAUGGAUAGGGGUUCUGAGAGGAAGGUCCCCCACAUUGGAACUGAGACACGGUCCAA